AGAGAGAGACAUGCGCGCAUAUCAAUAAGCGGAGGAAAAGAAACUAACAAGGAUUCCCCUAGUAACGGCGAGUGAAGCGGGAAGAGCUCAAAUUUGAAAUCUUAAAGGGUUUCCCUUUACGAAUUGUAGUUUAAAGAAGUGUUUUCUGUUGAGGUUUUGGUAAAAGUUCUUUGGAAUAGGACAUCAUAGAGGGUGAGAAUCCCGUAUUUGACCUUUACUUUCAACUUUGUGAUACACUUUCAAAGAGUCGGAUUGUUUGGGAAUGCAGUCCAAAAUGGGUGGUAAAUUUCAUCUAAAGCUAAAUAUUGGCGAGAGACCGAUAGCGAACAAGUACCGUGAGGGAAAGAUGAAAAGAACUUUGAAAAGAGAGUUAAACAGUACGUGAAAUUGUCAAAAGGGAAGCGUUUGACACCAGUGUUGUUUUUCUGAAAAUCAAUUAAAGAACUGUUUAUGCUAAGUUGUUUAGACUUUAUCAGCUAACUGUUUAGUUUUGAGCUUUUCCUUUAAUGCACUUUUCAGUUAACAAGUCAACAUCAAUUUCUUUUGCUGUAAAAAAGCUUGAGGAAGGUGGCUUGAGAUUCGUCUUAAGUGUUUAUAGCCUCUUGCCUAUGCAGUCGGAGAGAUUGAGGUCUGCAGCGUAGAUCCUUCGGGGCUAAAUGCAUUUGUGCUAAGUUAUAGCAUUUUAUAGACAACUUGUUGACUAUGAUUUGUCUUGUAGCUUACUCGCUUAUGUUAUUUUACCUACGCUUAGGAUGUUGACGCAUGAGAUAUACGC
rnacentral:rRNA from 1 species